CACCGCGGUUAUACGAGAGGCCCAAGCUGACAGUUACCGGCGUAAAGAGUGGUUAAUAAUUCCGCGAUACUAAAGCCAAACAUCUCCAAAGCUGUAUAACGCACCCGGAGACAUGAAGACCGUCUACGAAAGUGACUUUACACUAUUUGAACCCACGGAAGCUAGGGAA
rnacentral:rRNA from 1 species